AUAGUAAUCCUUUAAGGGGUUAAUGGCAGCCACGGCUGGCCUUAUAUGCAUGUCCCCAAGGGGCACUCCCCCUGGACCUUGUGGGGGACUGCAGCACAAAGUCAAAGAUCAAUGACAAAUGGUGUUUAAAUAAAUGACACUCCCAUAUACAAGCAUACAAUCCCUCCCCUCUGCCUGGGAGAUAAUUGGAUCAGUAACUGUACUAAUUCUAAUCCAAUUAUCUCCAAGCAGAGAAAAAAAACAUACAAAUGUUACUGAUAGCCCUGAUCUGGCUGACCAACAUAUCCAAAAAUCACCCAGAUCAGUUCAGGAAUUUCCUGGAAGUCAUUUAUUUGAUCGACCGCAGGCAUGGUCCCAUGCCCAAAACAGUUCCAGAGAAUCAGGGCUUGCGGACGGUCUAGUUCGGUAGUUUUACAAACAAACUACCAAACAGAGUCAAUAGUCUUACCCUGGAGCUUGUUCCCCUUAUGCAGACAAAUGUUUUUCAACAGUGCCCUUUUAAGUUGUAUAGAACCGAACACAGGUGAUGAUGGAAAUCCAGCGGUGUUCGGGGGUGUCUGUUCGAUUUUAGUUCCAUGAGAUCCAUGCCCAAACACCACUGCCUGCGUUCAUGCGAACAAGAUGGCCGUCACCUCGUGUUUGUCUAUAGGAAUUGCAGCCACUCAGAUGAACAAUUAGAACACUGUGGUGAGAAACGUUCCAAGUUGUUCAUAGGUGUUAACAAGCUCCAUGGUGGUCUCUAUUAUUUUACUUAUUAUGCAAAGAUUUUUUAAAGCCUCCAAUAGAUUUCAAAUUACUAUCAGUAUUCUAUGGCAAUCAUCACUUUAUGAAUUCAAUAUCAGAUGAGUGAGGAUUCAAAUGAUAUAAGGUGUUUAGACCACUUGCGCAAUUAUAUCUAUACGAUAAGGAUCUAUAUAGAUAUGGACGAAUGCUGCUCUACAAGCAGACGCCAACCUUACACUAAAGGUACACUACAGAAUUGAGG